CGUGGACAGUAUGUAAUGCAGCAACAGCCAGUGAUCCUGUUAAAGUGCUCCACCUACAGCGUCUUGUCCAUCAUGCCCUCCGACUCUGAGAGCAGCAGCUCCCUCAGCAGUGUGGGAACCACCGGGAAGGCACCGUCCCCCCCGCCCCUCCUCACCGACCGCCAAGUGAAUGAGAAGGUGGAGAACCUCUCCAUUCAGCUGCGGCUGAUGACCCGGGAGAGGAACGAACUGCGGAAGCGCCUGGCCUUCGCCACUCACGGGACGACCUUUGACAAGAGGCCCUACCACAGGCUGAACCCUGACUACGAGAGGCUGAAGAUCCAGUGUGUGCGGGCCAUGUCGGACCUGCAGAGUCUGCAGAACCAGCACACCAAUGCCUUGAAGAGGUGUGAGGAGGUGGCCAAGGAGACCGACUUCUACCACACACUCCACAGCCGACUCCUGAGCGACCAGACCCAGCUGAAGGACGACGUGGACACGCUGCGGCGGGAGAACGGGCAGCUGCUGCGGGAGCGGAACCUGCUGCAGCAGUCCUGGGAGGACAUGAAGCGGCUCCACGAGGAGGACCAGAAGGAGAUUGGCGACCUCCGGGCCCAGCAGCAGCAGGUGUUGAAGCACAACGGGUCGUCAGAAAUCCUCAGCAAGCUGUACGACACGGCCAUAGACAAGCUGGAGGUGGUCAAGAAGGACUACGACGCCCUGCGGAAGAGGUACAAUGAGAAGAUUGCCAUCCACAGCUCGGACCUGAGCCGCCUGGAGCAGCUGGAGGAGGAGAACCAGCGCCUGCUGAAGCAGACGGACAUGCUGACCCAGCAGAGGGACACGGCCAUCCAGCUGCAGCACCAGUGCGCCCUCUCCCUGCGGAGGUUCGAGGCGAUCCACCAUGAGCUGAACAAGGCCACGGCCCAGAACAAGGACCUGCAGUGGGAGAUGGAGCUGCUGCAGUCGGAGCUGACGGAGCUGAGGACCACCCAGGCGAAGACGGCCAAGGAGUCGGAGAAGUACAAGGAGGAGCGGGACGCCGUGUACAGCGAGUACAAGCUCAUCAUGAGUGAGCGCGACCAGGUCAUCUCCGAGCUGGACAAGCUGCAGACCGAAGUGGAGCUGGCCGAGUCCAAGCUCAAAAGCAGCACGUCGGAGAAGAAGGCGGCCAGCGAGGAGAUGGAGGCCCUGCGGCAGAUCAAAGACACAGUGACAGUCGACGCCGGGAGAGCCAACAAGGAGGCCGAGACCCUUCGAAAGCAGUGCAAGGCUCUGUGCCAGGAGCUGAAGGAAGCCCUCCAAGAGGCAGACGUGGCCAAGUGCCGGCGGGACUGGGCCUUCCAGGAGCGGGACAAGAUCGUGGCCGAGCGGGACAGUAUCCGGACGCUUUGCGACAACCUGAGGCGGGAGCGGGACCGGGCAGUGACGGAGCUGGCGGAGGCCCUGCGCAGCUUGGACGACACUCGCAAACAGAAGAAUGACAUCAGCCGGGAGCUCAAGGAGCUCAAGGACCAGAUGGAAUCCCAGCUGGAAAAGGAGGCCCGAUUCCGGCAGCUGAUGGCCCACAGUUCCCACGACUCAGCCAUCGACACAGAUUCCAUGGAGUGGGAAACGGAAGUUGUAGAGUUUGAAAGGGAGACGGAGGACAUUGACUUGAAGGCACUGGGGUUCGAUAUGGCGGAAGGUGUGAAUGAGCCUUGUUUGCCCGGGGACUGCGGCAUAUUUGUCACUAAGGUGGACAAAGGAAGCAUUGCAGACGGCCGCUUACGGGUCAAUGACUGGCUGCUGAGGAUCAACGACGUGGACCUCAUCAACAAGGACAAGAAGCAGGCCCUCAAGGCGCUCCUCAACGGGGAGGGGGCCAUCAACAUGGUCGUGCGGCGGAGGAAGUCCCUGGGCGGGAAGGUGGUCACGCCCCUGCACAUCAACCUGAGUGGACAGAAAGACAGUGGCAUCAGUCUGGAGAAUGGAGUGUAUGCUGCCGCCGUGGUGCCCGGAAGCCCCGCCGCCAAAGAGGGGUCUCUCGCCGUGGGGGACAGGAUUGUGGCGAUCAAUGGCAUCGCACUGGACAACAAGUCUCUGAAUGAGUGUGAGUCUCUGCUGCGUAGCUGCCAGGACUCCCUGACCCUCUCCCUCCUGAAGGUGUUCCCUCAGAGCUCUUCAUGGAGUGGCCAGAACAUCUUUGAAAACAUCAAGGACUCUGAUAAGAUGCUGAGUUUCCGAGCCCACGGCCCAGAGGUCCAGGCUCAGAAUAAGCGGAACCUGAUGCAGCACAACAACUCCACACAGACGGACAUCUUCUGCACAGACAGGCCGGAGGACAGGAAGGAGCCGGGCCCCCCAGGCGGUGGCAGCUCCUUCCUGCACAAGCCGUUCCCUGGGGGACCCUUCCCAGCCGCCCCCCACACGUGUCCCAGCGCCUCCGAGCGUAGCCUGAGCUCCUUUCGCUCGGAUGCCUCUGGGGAGCGUGGCUAUGGGCUGGGGGACAUGUGUGCCCAGCGGCCACUGCUGCCCUUCGAGACUGAGGCUGGUUCCUGCGGGGCGACGGAGGCUCCCCUGGACAAGGCCGAGCCCGAGGGCCCCCACAGCGGCGGGACCUGGCCCAAGGCCGGGCUCAGCUCCGCGGCAGCGCCCGAGAAGCUCUCUGUUUACAAGAAGCCAAAGCAAAGAAAGUCCAUCUUUGACCCUAACACUUUCAAACGCCCCCAGACGCCCCCCAAAAUAGACUACCUGCUCCCCGGCCCUGGGCCUGCUCAUUCCCCCCAGCCCUCCAAGAGGGUGGGGCCUCUGACGCCCCCAAAACCUCCGCGGAGGAGUGACUCCAUUAAGUUCCAGCACAGGCUAGAAACCAGCUCGGAAUCCGAGGCCACUCUGGUGGGCAGCUCCCCGUCCACCAGCCCCCCAGGUGCCCUGCCCCGCGACGUGGACCCUGGGGAACCCAUGCACGCCUCGCCCCCUCGCAAGGGCAGGGUCCGCAUUGCUUCCAGCUACUACCCUGAAGCGGACGGGGACUCCUCCUACCUGCCCGCCAAGAAGUCCUGUGAUGAGGACCUCACCUCCCAGAAGGUGGACGAGCAGGGACAGAAGCGUCGCCGGCCAAAGUCUGCGCCCAGCUUCCGGCCGAAGCUCGCGCCAGUGGUGAUCCCUGCUCAGUUCCUGGAGGAGCAGAAGUGGGUCUCAGCCAGUGGAGAAGUCUCCCCAGAGCUCCCGGAGUGGUCCCCUUACUCGCCAGGGCACUCCAGCCGGCACAGCAACCCCCCGCUCUACCCCGGCAAGGCAUCUGUGGGCACCGUUCCCCGGAGCAUGACCCCGAGCACCACUGUGAGCUCCAUCCUGAGGAACCCCAUCUACACCGUGCGUAGCCACAGGGUUGGCCCUUGCAGCUCUCCACCCGUCCCCAGAGAGGUCGGCCCCCAGGUUUUGCAUCCCAGUGUCCAGCACCAGGGACGCCUGAGCCUGGACCUGAGCCACAGGGCCUGCAGCGACUACUCGGAGAUGAGAGCCUCCCACGGGUCCAACUCACUGCCCUCCAGCGCCCGCCUGGGGUCUUCAAGCAACUUGCAGUUCAAGGCCGAGCGCAUUAAAAUCCCAUCAACGCCAAGAUACCCCCGGUCUGUUGUGGGCUCCGAGAGAGGUUCAUUGUCGCAUUCUGAAUGCAGCACCCCCCCGCAGUCACCCCUCAACAUCGACACCCUGUCCUCUUGUAGCCAGUCCCAGACCUCAGCCUCCACGUUGCCUAGAAUUGCAGUCAACCCCGUGGUCCUCGGGGAGCGGAGAAAGGACAGGCCCUACAUGGAGGAGCCGCGCCAUGUCAAGCUGCAGAAGGGCUCGGAGCCCCUGGGCAUCUCCAUCGUGAGUGGAGAGAAGGGCGGUGUCUACGUCUCCAAGGUGACUGGGGGCAGCAUCGCUCACCAGGCUGGCCUUAAGUAUGGGGACCAGUUACUUGAGUUCAAUGGCAUAAACCUGCGGAGCGCCACGGAGCAGCAGGCCCGCCUCAUCAUCGGGCAGCAGUGCGACACCAUCACCAUCCUGGCCCAGUACAACCCACACAUGCACCAGCUCAGCAGCCACUCCCGGUCCAGCUCCCACCUGGACCCUGCCAGCACCCACUCCACUCUCCAGGGCAGCAGUGCUACGGUCCCGGAGUAUCCCUCGGGCAUUGACCCGCUGAUGGAGCAGGACGAGGGCCCUGGCACCCCCCCGACCAAGCAGAGCGCCCCCAGUUCCAGGAUGGUGGGAGAUGCCAACAAGAAGCCCCCAGAGCCACGAGUGGUCUUUGUCAGAAAGUCCCAGCUGGAGCUUGGAGUGCAUCUGUGUGGUGGGAACCUGCACGGGGUGUUUGUGGCCGAGGUGGAGGACGACAGUCCUGCCAAGGGCCCCGACGGCCUGGUGCCGGGCGACCUCAUCCUGGAGUACGGCAGUCUGGACGUGCGCAGCAAGACGGUGGAGGAGGUCUACGUGGAGAUGCUGAAGCCCAAGGAUGGCGUCCGCCUGAAGGUGCAGUACCGCCCAGAGGACUUCUCCAAGGUCAAGGGCCUGCCUGGCGACAGCUUUUACAUCAGGGCCCUGUACGACCGGCUGGCGGAGGUGGAGCAUGAGCUGAGCUUUAAGAAAGACGACAUCCUCUAUGUCGAUGACACCUUGCCCCAGGGCACGUUUGGGUCCUGGAUGGCCUGGCAGCUGGACGAGAACGCCCAGAAGAUCCAGCGCGGGCAGAUCCCCAGCAAAUACGUGAUGGACCAAGAAUUCUCCAGGAGGCUCAGCAUGUCGGAAGUCAAAGAUGACAGCAACGCCUCCAAGACGCUGUCCGCGGCUGCGCGCAGAUCCUUCUUUCGAAGAAAACACAAGCACAAGCGCAGCGGGUCCAAAGAUGGGAAAGACCUCCUCGCCUUGGACGCCUUUUCCAACGACUCCAUUCCACUCUUUGAAGAUUCGGUGAGCCUUGCCUACCAGCGGGUCCAGAAAGUAGACUGUACCUCCCUGAGGCCCGUCCUGAUCCUGGGGCCGUUGCUGGACGUGGUGAAGGAAAUGCUGGUGAACAAGGAGCCCAGCAAGUUCUGCAGAUGCCCCCUGGAGGUGAUGAAGGCCUCCCAGCAGGCCAUUGAGCGAGGUGUCAAAGACUGCCUGUUUGUCGACUACAAGCGCAGGAGCGGCCAUUUCGACGUGACCACGGUGGCUUCCAUAAAGGAGAUCACAGAAAAGAACUGGCACUGUCUGCUGGACGUCGCCCCCCACGCCAUCGAGCGGCUGCACCACAUGCACAUCUACCCCAUCGUCAUCUUCAUCCACUACAAGAGCGCCAAGCACAUCAAGGAGCAGAGAGACCCCGUGUACCUGAAGGACAAGGUGACACAGAGGCAUUCCAAAGAGCAGUUUGAGACGGCUCAGAAGAUUGAGCAGGAGUACAGUCGGUACUUCACAGGGGUCGUCCAGGGAGGAGCCCUGUCGAGCAUUUGCGAUCAGAUCGUGGCCUUGGUCAGCCAAGAGCAGAGCAAAGUCCUGUGGAUUCCAGCCUGCCCGCCGUAGGCCGCUGUGCUGGGAACAGAGGCAGCUUGUCACCAGCGUCCGUCCUGGCUCAGCUUCUCUGACUAUGAGCACCGGAGGAGGGUCCACCAGCAGGGCCCCAGGCAGUGGGCCGCAGAUGCACAGACUGUCUUCCUCACACGUGUGCUUUAAGACAAAAACAGUAACCACCCAGGACUCCUGCUAGAGGUUCCACACCAGCCUUCCGAGGCCGCGAUCCGCGAUGCUGCAGAGAACCUUUCACAUCACAAGUUUACAAGCCUUUCUAAGUAUUUGGUUGUUUCUGUUUACUUGAACGGCCCAUGUUGUUGGUGCCCAGCCCCUGCCCCUGUCCAUCCCGUGUUGCUUUCGUGUUUUGGUUUUGUUCCUGUUUUCAGCGAAACAACUCUGGAACCUCAAUGGGCUGCUCUGCUCUGGAAGGUUCGUGGUGGGACCAGAGCUCUGAAAACCUCUACUCCUCGGUGGCGUCUCCCGGAAGGACAUCGCCAUGGCAGAUGCUUGGACAUCGGUGGUGGCAGAACCAGUGCCUUCGUGGGGCCGACUCGCCAGCGGCAGUGGUUUCCCUGCCCACACCAGGGCAGGCGACACUGGCAUCUCACAGACUCGUCUCAGACUUUCCCUCCCGCCUGCACGCCCUCUCAUCUCUCCUCCACCUGCCUUGAUCGUUUCCGCCUCUCUCUGUCCUUCGGAGCCUCCCGGGCUCUCGCCGACGACUGGUUCUGGCAGGAGGCUCAGCCGAUGCAUGCCGUUGUCCUCUGUAGGUUCUGUAAAUAGAGACAGCCGUUCUCAGUGCAAUGUUUGCAGGGUACUUCUCAAACUGUAGAGGGAGCGGACACGUCAGCUCCUUUGGACAUGGAAAAUGUUUCAAACUUUGAGUUGAGAGUCUUCGGGGGAGCCUAGUGGUUAGUGUUGUCACUGUCGAAAUCUAAAAAGCAGGCAGGAUCCUUUAGUCUUGGCUGCAGCGCUCCCGGCAUGCCCAGUGCUCCUUGAAGAUGUCUUCGUUGGGACUUCUGUCUUUUCUUUUUUUUGCACUUCUGACGCUGGGUAUCUCUGGCUGCAGAUUUGAUGUGGUUCCUCCCUAAACUGUGCGUCCUGUUGUUAAUAGGUACUGUACUGGGCUCCGUGUGUCACUGGGGUAGGACUAUAUUUUAAUACUGUUCCUAACAUUUCAUUUUACUAGCAAGAAAUCCUUGAUUUCAUUUUAUCCUUUGUAAUUCUAGACACUAGAUGAUAGUGUAGCCAUACUGACAUUUUUAAAAAAGGGAUAUAUUUUCUUGCACAGUUGUUCAAAGAGAGACACGUCUGGGUCCUCAAUGCUGCCCUUCGUUUUACAGGUACAAGUUUCUAGCUCAGACAGCCGAGACACGAGGCUGUCUCGAGUCUUACGCGCUCUCGGGGCGUUGCUCUGAGCUGCAGACAGUGGGACUGUGAUGGUACAGUGUGCACAGCAGGAACCAGCUGAUGUGUGGGCUCUUUCCAGCUCCAGUGUAAUCAGUAGCCCCUUUUCCUGCCGCAUCAGCCUCUCUCUGACUCCCUCCUCCCCUCCCAUGCGACCAUCCGUGCGUCCUUCCAUCCGCCCAUCUGUCCAGCACAGCGUGGGUGCGGCUGCAACCAGGUGGCUGAUUGCAAGACUCAGAUCCUGCCCUCAGGUGCUUACAUUCAGGUUCCAUCGUGGACCUGCACUCAGCCUCACCUGUGGUCCGCUGGCUGGGACCCAGGGCACAGCCCUACCCACAUGCAUCCAGCCACAGACGCAGCGCCGUUCUCAGGGGGCAGUUGCUGCGACAAUUUUGUCACCUACAGGGUAAAUGUAUGCAGGGAACGCUGCUUGUUUCAGGAAUGGGUUCUUUUAAAGAGCUCAGUCAUGUUGCCCAAACCUUAACAGUUUGCACUUGGGGCAUUAUUGCUGGAGGCUAAUUCCAGCAUGUCAUAAUAAAUGCAAGGAGUUCAUCAAAAGGUUGAUGGAACUUGAGGCUUCAGCAGGGCUGAAUCAUAUUACCUGCUGCUGGAAUAGCUGAAAGCAUUUCCCCAGACCUGAAGAUCUGCACAUAUGAUAGCCUGCUGACUGACAGCUGAGGGCAGUUCCCCCAACCUGAUCAUCUGUUUACCAAACUUUACCUUUGAUAUGUAUAUCUGCUUUGCUAGAGGACAAAAUGUGGGAAUAAAAAGCCCUGGGUGCAGAGAUUCGAGGAACUUAGUUACUAAAGCUAAGCUUCCUCUGGCUCCCCCAAAAUGUCUUCCAAAUU